CCCCUCUCUCACUGUGCUUCUCACGGAGCCCCUGCUCCAUCUUAUCCACCUGCAGACCGACUUCUUCCAUCUCUGACCCCGUUAUGGAAGGGAGUGGGGCUGCCGAGAACAAUCCUUCCCCCGCCCCAAUGUUGGAUAUUCUUUCGCAGUUUUAAUUUCAAGGAUCCUUGGAGGGUCUAGAAUGGGCUCCACGAGGCUCAAGUGCCCGUCCCCAGGCCUGCCGCCUGUGGUCAGGACUCACCUUGGACUUGCGGAGUGACUCCCUCGAUGACCAUGUAAAAGGUGGGAGAGAUGGGAGGACAAUCCCAGAGACUCUGUCAUAAUCAUCUCGUGCCCAUGAGGGAAUGAGGGGUGACAGGCGAGGAGAAGGGCAUUCUCCUUGUGAUUCCACGGACUUGACUCUGCCCAGCGUUUUCCAGGGAGACUUGUCUCUGUGACCUCACCCUUUCCUCCUGAGGAUUCUCUGAGGAUACUGCUAGAUCUUUCAGGAGAUGGUGGUUAACAGAGUUGGAUACAGGAACAUGGUCCAGUCCCUGCCCUCAAGAGACUCCAGACUGGUCAGUGAGACAGAUACGGACAGAACUCAACAGGGCUCCCAAGGACCUCAGCUGUUACACUCACUGUGUACCAGUUACCUAGGCAUGGGCUUCUUGCGUUAUCUAGGCUGUGUCUAGACCUCCACCAGGCUCCGGACCCUAGUUCUUCUGACACUGCAUGGAUGUGGCAGGUAAGUGAUGGAAUAAACUUUCCUCCGUUCAGAAUGAGGGGAGUGCCAAAGAGCUGGCUGCUUUGAAGAGGGAAGAGCUUGGCUCUUUCCAACUGGAGGACUGGGAAAGUCAUCCCAGAUGUGGUACCACUGAGCUGUGUGGAGAGGGGUCUGCAGAUGGGGAGGAGGGAAGUCAAUGAGAAGCAGAAAGGUGGGACUCCAACUCCCCCUGGUACUUCUGUCCCUGGCCGGGGCUCUGACCACUUAGGAUACUCCCUAGAGCACAAUCUAAAUGAGAACAAUGAAAUCCGAGCUGUCCCAAGAAGUCAGCACCUGUUUGGUGUCCUGCACGCCUUUCAGGCCCUUUGUGUAUUUCUAAGUAGACAAUCUCAUUCAUUUUCACAACAGACACUAAGAGACCAGGAGGGGAGGAUGGGCUUAGGAGGAGCCCUGGGCAGGAGUGUCUGAAAGCAGGUGGGAGGCAAGCCUCUGAGGUUUCAACCAGCCUCCCAGCCAUUUCUCCCAGCAACACACCAUGUGCCCCUGGGCAAGUCUUCUCCCUUUGCUGUGACCCAAGGUCUUCUUUAUAGCAAGAGGACAUGGGAUUCAGUUACCACUGCAGUACCUUCUAGCUCUAACAUCGCAUGCUCCCUACUGUGCCCUACAGGAAGUGCCCAGUUCCUAAGAAGGAUGGUGGUUGGCCUGAGUUCUUCAGCAAGUUGGAGAAGUUUCUGGAAGAUACACCCAUUGUGAGCAGUAGGAGGAUGAGAUCCGUGUUUUCAUGUUUACCACGGUGAGAGGUAGAUGCUCAGGGGAGAUGCUGAAUGAAUCAGUGCAAGUUUCCAGACUCCUGAGUUCGCACAUGCCAUGGAUUGAUGUGUCCCCUCCCUCCAGAUUCAUACCUUGAAAUCCUAACUCCCAAUGUGACAGUAUUAGAGGUGGCAUCUUGGGAGAGUAAUUAGGUCAUAAAGAUGGAGCCCUUAUGAAUGGGAUCGGUGCCCAAAUCAAAGGGACCCUCUUUCCACCGUGUGGAGGACACGAUGAGAAGACCAUGGUUGGCACGCUGGAAGGGGACCCUCGCCCAACCAUGCUUGCCCUCUGCAUCUCAAGCUUCCAGCCUUCAGAACUGUGAGAAAUACAUUUCUGUAGUUUAGAAGCCACCUGAUCGAGGUACUUUUUCAUAGCAGGCUGAGCCAGCUGAAACAUAUCGAUUCCAGCGCCUGCUGCCUUUCUGUUGAGCUUUCAGGGAGAAGCCCUUCACUUCCUCACCAGGACAAUCUGUUCCUCGGUGGGGAUUAAACACUGUUUUAUAAUUGAUAUCAUAACUGACCCUGGAGCGAGAAGUUGGGACUUACCUUCAAUCUCCCAUGAGGAUCUGGAGCCAGUGCAGCUCACAGGAGACGCAGGGCUGCAGUGCAGAGGAAACCAUUCAACGUGUGUAUGUGAAAAAACUUCCAAGCUAUGGGACAGCACAGGUGAGUGGUUUUGCAUCUUUUUUUUUUUUUUUUUCCUUUUUGUAACCACACCUGCAGCAUAUGGAAGUUCUCGGGUCAGGAGUGGAAUCAGAGCUGCAGCUGCCGGCCUACACCACAGCCAUGGCAAUGCCAGAUCCGAGCCACAUCCGAGACCUACAUCACAGCUUGUUUCAAUGCUGGAUCCUUAAUCCACUGAGCGAGGCCAGGGAUUGAUUGAACCACAUCCUCAUGGAUACUCGUUGGGGUCUUAACCCACUGAGAUACCACGGGAACUCCGGGUGGGUUUGCAUCUUAAGGACUAAAUGCUGUUGGGUUUUCCAGAGAAUGGCAGCACUGUGGAGAUGGCUCUAGGAGAGGAGAGCAGGUUCAUGUGGCCAGAGGGCUGCCGAGCACAGGAGGCAGGAGCCAGGGAGCCCAGGGGUAGGGUGAUCCUGGCUCUAUACCAAGGGCGACGCAAUAUUUCCGAAGGUUCAUUGGGAUGAACUCAGGCCAAGGUCAGCCUAUAAACAGGAGAAUCUUCUUUCCUAUUUCAGCUAGAUUUUCUUUAUUUGCAUUCAUAUAUUUGCUGGUUCACUCGUCACAAGAUUUCCGGCAGCACCUUUGCAGCAUGAAAGAAUGACCCUUUCUCUUCUAGAGAAAGAUCCUUAAUCUUUAAUUCAGGGGCUUUCAAACUUUUCUGAACAUGACCUGCUCUGAAAAAAUACAUUUUACAUCAGGAUCUAGUGCAAAUGAACAUGGAUAAUACUGAAACAAGAGCUUCAAACACCAAAAGCUUGCCCUUAAUGUAUGUGAUGUGUGCCUCUUUUUUUGGGGGGGGCUGCACCCUCAGAAGUUCCAAGGCUAAGGGUCAAAUUGGAGCUCUAGCUGCUUCACACAGCCACAGCCACAGCAAUGCCAGAUCCUUAUUCUCCUGAGCCAAGGAUCGACCCUGCAUCCUCACGGAUACUAGUUGGGUUCGUUACCACUGACCCAUCAUCAGAACUCCUGUGAUGUAUUUUUUUUUUUUUUUUUUUUUGUCUUUUGUCUUUUUAGGGCCACACCUGUGGCACAUGGAGAUUCCCAGGCUAGGGGUCUAAUCGGAGCUGCAGCCUAAAUCACAGCCACAGCAAUGCCAGAUCUGAUCCGCAUCUUCGACCUACACCACAGCUCACAGCAACGUCAGAUCCUUAACCCACUGCAACCUCAUGGUUCCUAGUCGGAUUCAUUUCUGCUGUGACGACAGCGGAACUCCAUGUGAUUCAUUCCUAACACAAUGGUUCCCAAGAUGUGGUCCUGAAUCAGCAGCAGCAACAGCACCUGGGAACUUGUUAGCAAUGCAAAUUCUCAGGCUCCACCCUCCGUUCUCAGAACACCCUCCAGAAGUUCUGGCUGCUUUAUUAAGCCUUUCCAAGUGUUUCUGAGGCAUGCUAAAGCUGGAGAAAAACAAUAUCAUAUACUUGUCUAUUUCAUUUUUAAAAAAGUGUUAUUUGGGGCCCACGCCUUGGGGACUUAACAUUACCUUUCGACUUUAGAAAACCUCGGAGGCUGCCCCCAGGCUUUCUUCCUUCUCCCCUUUCCAAAACCAUCCCCACCCUCUGCUCUUGAAAACCCCAACCAGACCCACGUCCUUUCCCCUUCUCGACUCCAGCCCUCUGUGUUAGACACUCCUGCUGGAAGCCUUCCUUCUCCGCACUCGCAGAGCUGGUUCAAGCCCCAUGAGGGUUCUUGGCUCCGAUGCCCUUCCCCUCAGAGACACUGUCCCAACGGGGCUGUUCUUUCGUCAUUGCCCUCAGCACCCUCGACACUUGUCUGCCUCCAGUUGACCGAAGCUUCAUCCAACAAUGCCUGGCAUAUAGUGGGUCCUCGAUACAUACUUGUUGAGGAAAAGAAGAAAUUAAUGAUUGACUCUCCACCAGACAUAUCUGGGAAGACAUCAUAAUCACCAGAGCAGUAUUUGGAAUCCAUAAAGCCCCGCUCGCCUCUCGGACCUGGCGCUUCCCAGUGAGAAUCCUUGUCACUGUUUUGGAAGGUGAGAAAAAGACGUGGCGCAUCCCCUGUCUGAGGUUCCUUGGCUUGCCAGCCCUCCGCCAUUCUGGUGGGUAAUAUUUUCAUCAGGGAAAUGUGGAAGGAAGAGCACCAGCCUCAAGUUAGGGCACUUGGGUUCAAGGCAGGGUUCACAGCCUGGCUCUUAGGAAAGCCCAUCGUGUCUUCAGCCUCAAUACCACUGGGGUCACAAAACCCGUAUAAACUCCCUUGUAGCACUGUCAAGGGACAACUAGGAGGCGACUUACGAACAUGCCACUUGCUAUAAAGGAGUCACAGCCUUUGCUAAUUUUUUUUUCUCCGUUUUGGCAGCACCAGCAGCAUAUGGAAAUUCCCGGGCCAGGGAUCGAACCCGAGCCACAGCUGCAACCUAUACCACAGUUUGUGGCAACACCAAAUCCUUAGCCCACUGAGGGAGGCCAGGGAUUGCACCUGCAUCCUCACAGACAUGGUGUGGGUUCUUAACUCUCUGAGCCACAACGGGAACUCCCAAAGAUCCACAGCCCUAACCUCUAAGGUACUGACCCAUAAGCCAUAUUUGUAACCUUACCCACCGCCCUCCCAAGGAAGCUGCCAGGAGUGUGGGGCUGGAAGUCCCUGGUGAGAGCGAACAAACCUGAAAAUACCUGCAUGGCUCCUAGAAAGAGUCCUGAGCCUCAGGGUCUAAAGGAGGGCUUUGGCGAUUUGCAUACUGAUUUGCAUAUCCUUUGCCGGCCCUGGGAGGCUGGUGGCUGAUCCCUCCUCCUCCAGCCCUCCUCGGCCUCUACACCUCCCGACUGGAGCCCAGCCUGGAAAAAUGGUGGGUUGGGCCCCGCCUGCAUUCCCCCCCCCCAACUCGCUGCCCCCACUGCCUUCCCCCACCUCCCGGAAGCUGGGAUGUGGGCAAAUGUCAUCGUGCAGAGAGCUCUAGGGCCACACUGCCUGAUGGAUGGCAGGCCUUAAGCGUGACUGAGCUUUCACAGCUAAAACCAUUAAAGGUUAUUCUC
rnacentral:lncRNA from 1 species